AUUGAACGCUGGCGGAAUGCUUUACACAUGCAAGUCGAACGGCAGCACGGACUUCGGUCUGGUGGCGAGUGGCGGACGGGUGAGUAAUGUAUCGGAACGUGCCCAGUCGUGGGGGAUAACGUAGUGAAAAUUACGCUAAUACCGCAUACGAUCUAUGGAUGAAAGCGGGGGAUCGCAAGACCUCGCGCGAUUGGAGCGGCCGAUAUCAGAUUAGGUAGUUGGUGGGGUAAAGGCCCACCAAGCCAACGAUCUGUAGCUGGUCUGAGAGGACGACCAGCCACACUGGAAAGGAGACACGGUCCAGACUCCUACGGGAGGCAGCAGUGGGGAAUUUUGGACAAUGGGCGAAAGCCUGAUCCAGCCAUUCCGCGUGCAGGACGAAGGCCCUCGGGUUGUAAACUGCUUUUGUACAGAACGAAAAGGUUUCUACUAAUACUAGGAGCUCAUGACGGUACUGUAAGAAUAAGCACCGGCUAACUACGUGCCAGCCGCCGCAGUAA
rnacentral:rRNA from 1 species